UGAUGAUGUUUGGUUAUUGAUAAAGUAAUGAUUAGAAAUCUAGUCAGUACAGUAGAACCUCGAUUAUCCGUCCCCCGAUUAACCGUCAGGCCACUUGUAUAUGAGUAGGUUAUAAAUAAUAAUACAUAUAUAUAAUCCGAAACUUUCCGGCAAUAUCUACUAGACAAGCGAUAGGUAUAUAUGUAUAUACAUACAUAUAUAUUUAAUGGGUGGG